rnacentral:ncRNA from 2 species
AACUUUGUCAGCGAUAACGGUUUCCGAAUCACUGCAAACGUGAAACGGGAUUAAAAGGGAAUCCUGUGAAAAUCAGGGACUAUCCCCGUAGCUGUAAGUUUCAUCUCCCCAUUUAUUCCGGAGAAAAGAUUGUGGCAUUCUUGAGCCACUGGUCCUGUAAAGACCGGGAAGGCGCCACAACGGAAACAAGUCAGAAGACCUGCCGACAUCCACAAACAUUC